rnacentral:rRNA from 1 species
CACGUAGGGGGCGAGCGUUGUCCGGAUUUAUUGGGCGUAAAGAGCUCGUAGGCGGCUCAGUAAGUCGGGUGUGAAAACUCCAGGCUCAACCUGGAGACGCCACCUGAUACUGCUGUGGCUAGAGUCCGGUAGGGGAGCAUGGAAUUCCUGGUGUAGCGGUGAAAUGCGCAGAUAUCAGGAGGAACACCAGUGGCGAAGGCGG